UUUACAAUGAUGGGGACCUUAAAAUGUCUUAAAGAGAAAUAAUGAUUUAAAAGUUAUGCUCCAUAGAAUUAAACAGGCUAGG
ensembl:snoRNA SNORD115 Small nucleolar RNA SNORD115